rnacentral:rRNA from 1 species
UGGGGAAUAUUGCACAAUGGGGGAAACCCUGAUGCAGCGACGCCGCGUGAACGAAGAAGGUAUUCGUAUCGUAAAGUUCUGUCCUAUGGGAAGAUAAUGACAGUACCAUAGAAGAAAGCUCCGGCUAAAUACGUGCCAGCAGCCGCGGUAAUACGUAUGGAGCGAGCGUUGUCCGGAAUUAUUGGGCGUAAAGGGUACGCAGGCGGUUUAAUAAGUCGAAUGUUUAAGAUCGGGGCUCAACCCCGCAAAGCAUUGGAAACUGAUAAACUUGAGUAGUGGAGAGGAAAGUGGAAUUCCUAGUGUAGUGGUGAAAUACGUAGAUAUUAGGAGGAAUACCAGUAGCGAAGGCGACUUUCUGGACACAAACUGACGCUGAGGUACGAAAGCGUGGGGAGCAAACAGG